CAGAACCCCGCCCUCAAGCAACCAGGUAGUGCCUGCAUACACCCCGAAAGGACGCCGGACCUCGAUACUGUAUUCACCCGCAUCGAGACACGCCGGGGUUUUUCCUCUGCUUCGAAGCCUUGCCAGUUCACAUCUGAAGGCACAUUCUCACCUGCCGGGAGGGAGUCGCACCUGGGGCUUGGAAGCUCCCCUGAAGAUGCAGGUUUCCAUGGGAAGAUGGACAGCCUUGUUGCAGAAGCCAGAAUCGCCAGCCCUUUGAAGACCCCCAGCCCUUUGCAUACCCGCAGGCCUCGCAAAUACCUGUAAAUGCCCACUUGGCAUCCCUCCUCCAUGGAACCUUUGUGCUUCUACCCAAUAGAAGCAGCAGCUGACGGUGGGGGCCAGAGCAGAUGUCUGUGGCUGACCUGCUGCGCCCCCACGCUGCCAGCAGGAUUAGAAUAAACGCUCAGGUGAUUCAACCCUGUUCGCUCCAGUAGUGACAGGCAGCCCGGACCCCCUGGCUGUCCGGUUUCAGAGGGAGUCACUUCCUCCUCCUCCUAUUUCCAUGGGGGAGAUGGGUUUCUGAGGCCUGGUCCCUGCACCGACUGGUCCCAUGGUCCCAUGGCCUCCCACUCACUUCCCCAGGACCACAGGUGACUUCUCGGCGCUGGGCCUGGCCGGACCCCCUGUCCCCGGCGAGGGCGUGUUCCUCCCCGCUGUCUGCGGUCGCUCUCUGUGUCCGCGGCUGCCUGAGGCCUUUUCACCUCAACCACAUCCUCCAGUCCAGCCUGGUCGCCUCAGAGGUGGCAUUUCGGUCUCUACCUGUCUGGCACCUGCUUUUGCUUCUCAGUCCUGAAAGCCAGAAGGGCAGGAGAGGGGUUUCUCUGGCCUCCGAAAACUCCAACUCCAGCAGCGGUGGCUACUAUUACCACUCCCAUGACAACGAUGAGGCAACAGGAGCACAGAGAGGUUCUGGAACAUUCCACAGAGCUGGAGCUGCAGCUGCUCUGAGGUCCGAGCAGUUAUUACCACGUCAGGACUGAGCCAGAGUCAGCGCCUCGCGGCCAAUGUCGCCAGGCCAGCGCUGGCCCGAGGCCCUCCGGGAGCGUCUCCUUAGGCCCAGAACAGAGUCCGAACCCCUUGGGUUGUGGCCUUGCUAGGCCUGUCUCCUGCCUACGCUCUCCACCUCUCUACCCGGCCAGCUUACACGGCUGCCUCGCGUGUUUGCACAUGCUGUUCCUCCCUCCUGCUUUCCUUUCACUUCCCUCACUCCUGCUCAUCCAUCGGAUCCCAGUUCAAGAGGGACUGUUCCCAGGAGUCCUUCCCUGGGCUCUCUGAUGAGUCAAUCCCCUCGUCACAGGCUCAGGGUACCUGCUCGUGGAGCAGUCCUGUUUGGAACCCAGUGACCAAGCCGAGAGGAAGCCCAGACAGACACGUGGAGGGGAGCCAAGGCCCCCACACCCCGAGCGGACAGCCCCCCGAAGCUCCCAGCUGGUGGCCGGCACCAACCAGCAGCCGUGGAAGGAAGCCGCGGAGGCUCUGCAGCCGGCCCGGCAUUCUGGCUGACAACAUGUAGAGCACAAGAACCAUCUGGUCGACCCACAGGCCCGACGAGAAAAUAGUCAACAGUUAAUAGUUCAUUCAAGCUCCUGAAUUUCAGUUCCAGCUCCUGAGCCCUAAGCUGGAAUGACACCCUCUGGCUACUUUCCUGAGAGAGAGGACAGACAGAUGCCGGAGCAGACCUCAGACCCGAAGAAACGGUUCCUUACCCUCCUCUCCACUCCAAGCAGUGAGCUCCCAGCACCUCCCCACCCCGAACCCGGUGCCCUGUGGCUGCCCCUCUAUGAUCGGUAACCAGGUGCCAUCAGGGAGUCGGGUUUCUCAGAGCAUACGCCCUCCACCUCCGCGUGGGCCCAUUGCACAUUCAACUGGUUUUAAAAUGUCCGGUCUGCAAACCCUGCCGGCUCGCUUCUUUGGGCCAGUGCGUGCGGGCAUCUUUGGGCCAGUGCGUACGGGCAGACGCAGGAAAAGGCCUCGGGCUUCCGGUAACAGCGGCUCCCCGGGACCAGCCACUGGCUCCUCUGGACCUGAAGAUCUGUAGGACAAGGGGGCGCAAACGGCCCCCCACGUCCCAGGGUCGCGGGGCACAGACAGGGAAAGUCUGCCUCCCCCUGUUAGAAAACGCCUUUGGGCCUGGGGUGGGCAUGACUCAGUGGUUGAGCGUCCACCUAUGAACCCGGAGGCCGAGGUUCCAUUCCCGGUCAGGGCACAGGCCCGGGUGGUGGGCUCCAUCCCCAGUGGGGGGCGUGCAGGAGGCAGCCCAUCCAUG